UCCGUUCCACAGAGCGAUUCUCCAGUCGCUGUCAACCAUCAAAAAUAACGUUAGAAUAGUAUCAGAAACCCAAAAAAGUAAAGUUGGGAAUGAAUUCACACAUCAACUUGGACAUCAGAUCUUGUUCUCUUCAAUCUCUUUCUUCUUCUCACAUUUUUUUCUAAACACCAAAAAAAAAAAGACAGAACUUAACCUCGAAGUCUUAGCACUUCCACUAACUUUGGUCUUUUAAUCGUAUUUUCAAACCAUCUUUCAUCACCAACCUAAAGUACAAACUCACUUUCUCUCUAAUGGUGGAAACAACAAGAAGCUCGAAGAAAACAACUCAAUCGGGUGACAAAGAAGCUCAAAACCCUAGAAAAUUCUACUCUCGAUUCCUCUUCAAAGCCCUAAUCCUCGCCCUGUUAUGCUCCCUCGUACCAGUCUUCCUUUCUCAGACGCCUGAGCUCGCUAACCAAACCAGACUCCUCGAGCUUCUCCAUAUGAUUUUCGUCGGCAUCGCCGUCUCCUACGGCCUCUUCAGCCGCCGGAACUACGAAGGAGGAGGAGAAAGCAAUAACAAUACUCAUAACCCUCAUCCCUAUGUGCCUAAGAUUCUCGAAGUAUCAUCCUCUGUUUUCAACGUGGAUCAUCACGAGAGUGGAUCCGAUGAUUCCUCCCUCGACCACCUUAGGAUUCAGACAUGGAAGAACAAGUACCACACGAAAAUUCCAGAGACCGUUCUGCCUCUGGUUUUGCCUGUUCGAAGCUUGAACUACUCUCGCGGUUCUGAUUCCGGCAGAUGGGAGAGAGUGAGAUCAAAGAGACAGCUGUUAAAGACUCUCGUUGAUGAUAACAGCAGCGAUGCGCUUCCUUCUCCGAUUCCGUGGAGGUCAAGAUCAUCGUCGAUGGAGAUUGAAUCUCAGCCGUUGAUCAAGACGUCAUCUUCCUCUUCUUCGACGCCUUUACCUAAGCCUGGAGCUGAGGACACCGUGAGGAAGAAGGAGUUUCACACAUCACCGUCACCUCCUCCUCCUCCGCCACCGCCGCCGUUGCCGGCGUUUUAUAACUCGGCGCCGAGAAAGGAUUAUCCUCCUCCCCGAAGCUACAGAGAGUCAGUUCAGAAGAAGAAUUAUACUCCUCCACCGCCUCCGCCACCACCACCACCUCCGAUGGACUACUAUAAGUCGCCUCCGAGUAAACUCAGAGUAAGCGGCGAACGGAGAAAACUGUCGGAGCAAAAGAUGAAACUCGAUGAACGUUCAGCGACAAGAAACUCUCCUACAAAAGUCUGGUGGUCUGAGCCAAUCGCGGAAACGAAAGAAGAUAUCAGAGAAGACAUGAACAAGAAUGAUGGGAGAAGUUUCGUGGGGAGCAAGGCAACUGAAGAAUCCGAGGAUAAAGAAGAUAUGAUAACAGAAAAUGUAAUCCACGAAGAUGGUGAACAUAGUGAGAAGAAGUUAGAAGAGGAAAUAAAUUGUGGGAACAUCAGUGACGUGGACAAGAAGGCUGAUGAGUUCAUUGCAAAGUUCAGAGAACAGAUUAGGUUACAAAGAAUCGAAUCCAUCAAGAGAUCUGCUUAUAAGAUCUCUACAAAUUCAUCGAGGGCUUUACUUUAAACUUAAAUGGCCAUGAAGGCAGUCACUUUGGGUGGUGCCCAUUACAUCAAGCUUUCCAAAAGAUUAUAAAGAUGGGCCUAGCCCUUAAAGAAAUACAAUUGAACCCAUAGUGAAAGAUGUGAAGAGACGGACGAGAGAAGUCGAUGCUUUCAGCUUUGAAACCACCGCUGGAGCAUUUUUGAGGAGAGAGAUGGGUUUCCUUCUCUGAUCCCUGAAACUCUGUUCCUGAUGAGAAGAUCUGCUUGCUUAGCCAAAGAGGAGAUUGAUCGAUAUUGUUGUCGAUGGAUCCUGCUAUUCCUCUCAGUCCAGAUGAGAUAGAUUGUAACUUGCCAUGCCAAAAGAACCAGAAGACGAUCAUGCUUUGGAAGAGUCAUCGCUUGCAUGAGGCCUAAUUCUGUCAGCCAAUUCCGAGAAGGUCGCCAGUUUGCUUUCCGAGAUAGUUCCGUCCAGAGACUCCAAGCGUAUGGGCACUCAAAAUAUAAGUGGGCACCUAUUCAGGACGGUGAGCCAUGUUAGGAAAUUGUGGCGAGGGAUUCCUCGAGAGAACCAUACCACUUCGCACCAAGAGACGGUCGGACGGUGGUUCUUGAUCAGGUCAUAUACCGUUCCCGUCGCAUAGGCAGCCGAAGACACUCCUUGAGGAGACCAUUCAUAGACAUCGCUCUCUGCCGAUAACGUAACGGUGGAGAGGUAGACAUGGAGAGAUAGUUGUCUUUCCGAUCGCGGAUGCGGUAGACGCCAGUGGUCGUUUCGGAAGAGAUCAUGGAGCGUUGCCGAGUGAUGGAUGCCUAUGUUUGAAGACGCCGGCAGUUGUAGAUAAGUUCUCAAGUUACCGAAAGGACUCCAGUUAUCCGACCAAAACCGAGUAUCUUUACCAUUCCCUGGCUACCCAAAUAGAGCCAGCUCUGAAGAAUAGCAGCCACAACAACUUAAUCGAACAAGCCCUGUUCCAAAAGACCAAGUCCCUUAUUCCUAAUCCGCCUUCUUUUUUCGCCAAGGGGUUCGCAGUUGGCCAGCGUUAGUUUCUUUGUGCAUAAAGGUACUCCCAGGUAGCGGAUGGGAAGAGCCCCCUGAGUCAAGCCACAUUGCAGGAGGAUCUGCUCGAUCUCUGGCUGUUGAACCCCGCAGGCAAAAAAACAGGUUUUUGAUAUGCUCACCGAAAGACCGGACAGCGCUUUGAAAUUGUCUAGUACCUCAAGAACAUUUUUUACUGAUCUUAGAGAGCCAUCACAAAAGAUAAGUAAAUCAUCAGCAAAGCAUAGAUGGGUUAGCUUAGUCUCCUUGCAAGCAUAAUGAUAACCAAAUUUUCCUUCCUCAGCAGCUUUGUCUAGGAGAAGAGACAAACAAUUCAUCGCUAUGACAAAGAGAUUAGGAGAAAGGGGAUCACCUUGGCGCAAACCUCUGUUACUCCUAAAAUAGCCCUGUACCGUUCCAUUAAAUCCUAUCAUGAAGCUCGGGGAUGUGAUGCAGGAGUGGACCCAUUGGACGAACUGCGGGGGAAGAUUCAUGCCUUGAAGACAGUUGAAGAUGAAGGUCCAGUUCACAGUGUCAAAGGCCUUUGCAAUAUCCACUUUCAAGGAUUAGGUCCGGGAGUAGAGGCUUGAGUCGAUGGACCAAAAUCUUGGAAAUGAGCUUGUACAGAGUGUUGCAGCAAGAGAUUGGACGGUAGUCGCUGAUUGAAGAUGCUCCAGGGUGCUUUGGGAUCAGAGAUAGAAUUGUUGAGUUGGUGGAGAUGGGUAGGUGGCCUGAGGUGAAGAAAGAUUUGAUUCCUGUAAUCACAUCAGCGCCAACAACGGUCCAAGCUGCUUUAAAGAAUCCGGAAGUUAGGCCGUCGGGUCCUGGAGAUUUAUUUGGAUUGAGCUUGAACAGAGUUUUCCUGAUUUUUUCCUCGGUAGGAUGCAUCAUCAUUUGUUCCCGGAGUUGUUGAGGGCAUCUAUAAGUCGUGAGGCUCUGGUACCAGGAGACUGAUGAAGUUGUAGAAGGGGGAGUUUGUGGCGCGAGAAUCUUUUGGAAGUGAGAAAUGGCGAUCUGACCCAUUGCAAGGGGGUCUGUGAUCUGAUCACCAUUUGCCAGGCAGAACGAGCGGAUAGAGUUUAAGGAGUUUCUGACUUGAGUCAGUCGGUGAAAGAAACUCGUGUUGCCAUCUCCUUCAUUUAGCCAGUUGAUGCGAGAUCGCUGUCUAAAGUAGCUCUCCUCUAUAGAUCGGAGGAAGCUGAGUUUAGAUGCAAUUGUUUGCUCCUCUUGAAAGUUUGCCGGCGAGGGAUCAGUAAGCGCUUUAAUCUGCACAAGUUGAAGCAAACCAGAUGAGAGAGAUCCAAUCCAGCCCCGCCGCACUGAUUCCAACCCGACAGUACCAGCUGGCAGAAGUCCGGGUGUUUGGUGAGGUAGUUGAAAAAUUUGAAAGGUUUGGUACCAGCACAGCGAUCUACGCAUCGAACCUAGCCGAGGACCGCGCAGACCUCUGGGUUGAUCUUCUAAAUGUGCAGCAACUCCUACAACUAGAUGUCAACCCUUGGGUUGUAGGCGGCGAUUUCAAUCAAAUCCACCAUUUUGCUGAGCACUCAAACCCCCUUGUGAACCACAUUGAUCCCCCGAUGACUGACUUCCGCAACACUCUUACUCAACUGAGCCUCUUUGAUCUUCGCUACUCUGGUCCUUGCUUCACCUGGAGUAACAAAUCCCCAACCAACCCUAUAGCGAAAAAACUUGACCGUCUCCUUGUUAACCAACCGUGGAUUGCUUCCUACCCUCAUAGCCUAGCCUCUUUCCUCGCCCCAGAAAUAUCUGACCACUCCCCAAAUGUCCUAGACCUAGCCGUAGACCUUGUCUUCAUAAACUUGUAAAAGACUUUUGUGUUAUAGUUAUUCAGGCUGAAAAAGAUAGCAACUGGAAUGCUGAUUUAUGUGAAUAUAAACUCAGAUUGAUUAUACACACUACCAUGUGUCAUACUGAUUAUAUAUUUCACUACCUUGAACAA